rnacentral:rRNA from 1 species
GAUAAACGCUGGCGGCGUGCUUUAUGCAUGCAAGUUGAACGGUUCUGAUUUAUCAGAAUAGUGGCAAAUGGGUGAGUAACACGUAAGUAACCUGCCCCUAAGUGAGGAAUAACUCCGAGAAAUUGGAGCUAAUACCUCAGUGGUAAUGGAGUAAGUCUUCAUUACUAAAGCCUUCGGGUGCUUGGGGAGGGGCUUGUGUCCGAUUAGCUAGUUGGUAGGGUAAUGGCUUACCAAGGUGACGAUCGGUAGCUGGUCUGAGAGGACAAUCAGCCACACUGGGACUGAGACACGGCCCAGACUCCUACGGGAGGCAGCAGCAAGGAAUUUUGUGCAAUGGGCGAAAGCCUGACACAGCGACGCCGCGUGGGGGAUGAAGGCUUUCGAGUUGUAAACCCCUUUUCUUAGGGAAGAAUAAUGACGGUACCUAAGGAAUAAGCAUCGGCUAACUACGUGCCAGCAACCGCGGUAAUACGUAGGAUGCAAGCGUUAUCCGGAUUUAUUGGGCGUAAAGCGGGCGUAGGCGGUUCGGCAAGUCGGAUGUAAAAUCUCCCGGCUUAACUGGGAGGGACCAUUCGAUACUGCCGAGCUAGAGGACAGCAGGGGGAGACGGAAUUCCCGGUGUAGUGGUGAAAUGCGUAGAUAUCGGGAGGAACACCAGUGGCGAAGGCGGUCUCCUGGGCUGUUACUGACGCUGAGGCCCAAAAGCGUGGGGAGCGAACAGGAUCAGAUACCCUGGUAGUCCACGCUGUAAACUAUGGACACUAGGUAUAGGGAGUAUCGACCCUCUCUGUGUCGAAGCUAACGCUUUAAGUGUCCCGCCUGGGGAGACGGUCGCAAGGCU